ACGUGUAGAGGCGCGGGUAUCAUCAGUAACGAUCCGUACGGGACCGGCCCGGCAGAUGGAUUGCAAAAGGGAGACCGCCGAAGUGGAGUGCCGCCGGAAAGGCAUUUUGCUGGGUCUGCAGUGAACAGCUGCAGGACUGUCAUCAAGUAUUGAUGGAGUGCUACGGC
rnacentral:ncRNA from 1 species